AGAUUCAUCCCUUGUGGAGCUUUUCCCCACGAGCUGAGAUCUUUGAGACAGGUUUGUCCCUGACGGAGGCUGCAGAUGUUGAAGUGGUGUUCGAUUCCUCGGCCGCCAGCAGCCAGCGGGAACUUUGCUCCAGUAAAAACAAAAGAACAAUCUCUGCCCCUUAAAAACAGAAGAGAGGAGAAACGUUCCCAUAGUGGUGAUCCAGCUGGGCGCAGCACUGACCACGCACAGCCCCAGGCAUUGCAGGGAGUGCAGCAGAGCUCCCUGCAGGCACACAGUGUGCCUGA